CCUGGUAGUCCACGCCCUAAACGAUGUCUACUAGUUGUCGGGUCUUAAUUGACUUGGUAACGCAGCUAACGCGUGAAGUAGACCGCCUGGGGAGUACGGUCGCAAGAUUAAAACUCAAAGGAAUUGACGGGGACCCGCACAAGCGGUGGAUGAUGUGGAUUAAUUCGAUGCAACGCGAAAAACCUUACCUACCCUUGACAUGUACAGAAUCCCGAAGAGAUUUGGGAGUGUUCGAAAGAAAGCUGUAACACAGGUGCUGCAUGUCUGUCGUCAGCUCGUGUCGUGAGAUGUUGGGUUAAGUCCCGCAACGAGCGCAACCCUUGUCAUUAGUUGCUACGAAAGGGCACUCUAAUGAGACUGCCGGUGACAAACCGGAGGAAGGUGGGGAUGACGUCAAGUCCUCAUGGCCCUUAUGGGUAGGGCUUCACACGUCAUACAAUGGUACAUACAGAGGGCCGCCAACCCGCGAGGGGGAGCUAAUCCCAGAAAGUGUAUCGUAGUCCGGAUUGUAGUCUGCAACUCGACUACAUGAAGUUGGAAUCGCUAGUAAUCGCGGAUCAGCAUGUCGCGGUGAAUACGUUCCCGGGUCUUGUACACACCGCCCGUCACACCAUGGGAGCGGGUUUUACCAGAACGUAGGUAGCCUAACC
rnacentral:rRNA from 1 species